UACGAAGGAUUCGAGCGUUAUCCGGAUUUAUUGGGUUUAAAGGGUGCGUAGGCGGCUUUGUAAGUCAGUGGUGAAAUAUGGCAGCUCAACUGUCAAGGUGCCAUUGAUACUGCGGAGCUUGAGUACAGAUGAGGUAGGCGGAAUUGACGGUGUAGCGGUGAAAUGCUUAGAUAUCGUCAAGAACACCUAUAGCGAAGGCAGCUUACUAGGCUGUAACUGGCGCUAAGGCACGAAAGUGUGGGGAUCAAACAGG
rnacentral:rRNA from 1 species